rnacentral:rRNA from 1 species
UAAGAGGGGGGAUAACAUCCGGAAACGGGUGCUAAUACCGCAUAGUUUUCUUGAUCGCAUGAUUGAGAAAGGAAAGACGGCCUUUGUGCUGUCGCUUAUGGAUGGACCCGCGGCGUAUUAGUUAGUUGGUGAGGUAACGGCUCACCAGACGAUGAUACGUAGCCGACCUGAGAGGUGAUCGGCCACCAUUGGGACUGAGACACGGCCCAAACUCCUACGGGAGGCAGCAGUAGGGAAUCUUCCGCAAUGGACGAAAGUCUGACGGAGCAACGCCGCGUGAGUGAAGAAAGGUUUUCGGAUCGUAAAACUCUGUUGUCAGAGAAGAACAAGUUGGAGAGUAACUGCUCCAGCCUUUGACGGUAUCUGACCAGAAAGCCACGGCUAACUACGUGCCAGCCGCAGC